GUGUCAGCCGCCGCGGUAAUACGUAGGUGGCGAGCGUUAUCCGGAAUUACUGGGCGUAAAGCGCAAGCAGGCGGUCUGUUAAGUUCGACGUGAAAUCUCCUGGCUUAACUGGGAGGGGUCGUUGGAGACUGGCAGACUUGAGGCGAUGAGAGGGGCAUAGAAUUCCCGGUGUAGUGGUGGAAUGCGUAGAUAUCGGGAGGAAUACCAGAGGCGAAAGCGGUGCCCUGGCAUCGGCCUGACGCUCAUGUGCGAAAGCGUGGGGAGCGAACGGGAUUAGAUACCCCGGUAGUCCACGCCGUAAACGAUGAGUACUGGGUGUAGGUGGGGUUAGAGCCAUCUGUGCCGAAGCAAACGCGUUAAGUACUCCGCCUGGGGAGUACGGCCGCAAGGCUAAA
rnacentral:rRNA from 1 species